AAACCAGCACCUCAAGUGGUCAGGAGGAUUAUUGGGCCUAAAGCAUCCGUAGCCUGUUCUAUAAGUUUCCGGUUAAAUCCAUUAGCUCAACUAAUGGGCCGCCGAAAAUACUGUGGGACUAGGGAGUGGGAGAGGUAGACGGUACUCGGUAGGAAGGGGUAAAAUCCUUUGAUCUAUUGAUGACCACCUGUGGCGAAGGCGGUCUACCAGAACACGUUCGACGGUGAGGGAUGAAAGCUGGGGGAGCAAACCGGAUUAGAAACCCCAGUAGUCC
rnacentral:rRNA from 1 species